rnacentral:rRNA from 1 species
AUUAAUAAGCGGAGGAAAAGAAACCAACCGGGAUUCCCUGAGUAAGGGCGACUGAAACGGGAGGAGCCCAGCGCAUAACCUCGCGGUCCUUUGCCGGCCGACGAGGGGUGUUGCGUUUCGGUGGAUCCAUCCCGCUCGGACCGUUUACCGCCUAAGUCAUUGCUUGAAAGCAGCCCCAAGGAGGGUGAUAGGCCCGUGUGGCGGCGCCUGUAAAAAGGGUAAAGGCGGUCCGGGCGGAGGGGUCUUCACCGCAGAGUCGGGUUGCUUAGUACUGCAGCCCUAAGCAGGUGGUAAACUCCAUCUAAGGCUAAAUACUACCACGAGUCCGAUAGAGAACAAGUACCGUGAGGGAAAGUUGAAAAGGACUUUGAAGAGAGAGUUCAAAAGGACGUGAAACCGUUAGAAGCAUAAACGGGUGGAACCGCGAAGGUCGAACGAGGGGAUUCAGCUCGUCGGUCUCGGGAAGCGGGUGGCGGCACAUGAGAAUUGCAGUGUGAGGACCCAGCGCCCAGUGCUUUAGCUGUGGCACCGCGCCCGCCUCCUUAGGUGCCGGCGGGCUUACUUCUCCCUCCAGUAGGUCGCCGCGACCCGUUGCGGGGACCCCCAAGGCCGUGUCGGAUUGGUAGCCGAGGUGUUUGCGCGCCUGGGUGAUGACCGGCUGCGGUUCUGACGGGCCCCUGCGACGGUCACUGCCAGGAGGCAGGGCUUACGGCGUUUCGGCGGCGUGGGCCCUUGCCUCUCGCGGCGUAGAAGGGAUCGGUAAUCCACCCGACCC